AUAGUAGACACUCCAACCAGGGGUUCUCCAGAGAGAGAGAUCAUCAGUCUGGUCCUAAGGAAAGACCCUAAACUGGGCUUUGGGUUUGUGAUAGUGGGGGAGAACAACACAGGGAAACUGGACCUGGGAAUCUUCAUAGCCUCCAUCGUACCUGACGGACCAGCAGACAGAGACGGCAGAAUCAGACCAGGUGGUCGUCUGAUUUCUCUAAAUAAGAUCAGUCUGGAGGACGUGACGUUCACUGACGCAGCUGUCAUCCUCCAGAACAGCCCUGAUGAGGUGGAGCUCAUCGUCUCACAGCCCAAAU